UGAAUGCAUAGCCGAGUUGAGAGACUGAUCGGCCACAUUGGGACUGAGACACGGCCCAAACUCCUACGGGAGGCAGCAGUAGGGAAUUUUCCACAAUGGACGCAAGUCUGAUGGAGCAACGCCGCGUGAGUGAAGAAGGUUUUCGGAUCGUAAAGCUCUGUUGUUGGUGAAGAAGGAUAGAGGUAGUAACUGGCCUUUAUUUGACGGUAAUCAACCAGAAAGUCACGGGCUAACUACGUGCCAGCAGCCGCGUAAAU
rnacentral:rRNA from 1 species